rnacentral:rRNA from 1 species
AGUGAACGCUGGCGGUAGGCCUAACACAUGCAAGUCGAACGGCAGCACAGGAGAGCUUGCUCUCUAGGUGGCGAGUGGCGGACGGGUGAGGAAUACAUCGGAAUCUGCCCAGUCGUGGGGGAUAACGUAGGGAAAUUUACGCUAAUACCGCAUACGACCUUCGGGUGAAAGAGGGGGAUCGCAAGACCUCUCGCGAUUGGAUGAGCCGAUGUCGGAUUAGCUAGUUAGCGGGGUAAUGGCCCACCAAGGCGACGAUCCGUAGCUGGUCUGAGAGGAUGAUCAGCCACACUGGAACUGAGACACGGUCCAGACUCCUACGGGACGCAGCAGUGGGGAAUAUUGGACAAUGGGCGCAAGCCUGAUCCAGCCAUACCGCGUGGGUGAAGAAGGCCUUCGGGUUGUAAAGCCCUUUUGUUGGGAAAGAAAUCUUUCAGGCUAAUACCCUGGGAGGAUGACGGUACCCAAAGAAUAAGCACCGGCUAACUUCGUG